rnacentral:rRNA from 1 species
UCGAGAAUCUUGGGCAAUGCGCGAAAGCGUGACCCAGCAAUGCCGCGUGCGGGAUGAAGGUCUUCGGAUUGUAAACCGCUGUCACUCGGGACGAACAAAAUGACGGUACCGGGGGAGGAAGCCACGGCUAACUACGUGCCAGCAGCCGCGGAAAUACGUAGGUGGCGAGCGUUGUUCGGAUUUAUUGGGCGUAAAGGGUCUGUAGGAGGUUUCUUAAAUUCGAGGUGAAAUCCCGGAGCUCAACUUCGGAACUGCCUUGGAGACUGGGAGACUAGAGUACUGGAGAGAUGAGCGGAAUACCAAGUGUAGCGAUGGGAUGCGUAGAUAUUUGGUAGAACACCAAGGGCGAAGGCAGCUUGCUAGACAGAAACUGACUCAGAACGACGAAAACGUGGGGAGCAAACA